rnacentral:ncRNA from 1 species
UCUCCGUCCUUCCCGCACAGAAGGACGGAUGGGGAACCGGUCUCUCUGCCCUGACUGCCCGGCUCCUCAUUCGGCCCGGACCGCACAUCCGCGCGCCGAUGCAACUCCGGGCUGCGGUGCCGGGAGGGCUGAGGGUCCCUCUCAGGCGC